AACGAACGCUGGCGGCAGGCUUAACACAUGCAAGUCGAGCGCGUAGCAAUACGAGCGGCAGACGGGUGAGUAACGCGUGGGAAUCUACCGAGCCCUAAGGAAUAGCUCCGGGAAACUGGAAUUAAUACCUUAUACGCCCUUCGGGGGAAAGAUUUAUCGGGGUUUGAUGAGCCCGCGUUGGAUUAGCUAGUUGGUGGGGUAAAGGCCUACCAAGGCGACGAUCCAUAGCUGGUCUGAGAGGAUGAUCAGCCACAUUGGGACUGAGACACGGCCCAAACUCCUACGGGAGGCAGCAGUGGGGAAUAUUGGACAAUGGGCGCAAGCCUGAUCCAGCCAUGCCGCGUGAGUGAUGACGGCCUUAGGGUUGUAAAGCUCUUUCGACGGGGACGAUAAUGACGGUACCCGUAGAAGAAGCCCCGGCUAACUUCGUGCCAGCCGCCGCGGUAAAAC
rnacentral:rRNA from 1 species